CAAGAUAAUUUAUGCGCAUGCGUCUUUGACCUCGAGUCUGAAGUGGCGCGCACAGAGGAAAGGAAUGGAGACUUCACGACGGCUAAUUUGAAUUUUACCACGAUAUUGCACCCACUAUUCAAGCAAAUGCAAGAUAAAAAAUGAAUUCAGAAGAAUCACCACAAUUUCCUUGGAGCGUACAUUCUUGUAAAAACUGGACUUCUAUACCCCAAAACUCCUGGCUUGUUUGAGAUGAGGGAUGGGGUUGCUGGCAUAAGAAUUAAACAUUUGCUGGAUUCACUCAGCCAGCAAGAAGAAAGCCUUGAAGAUAGGUGAGACGUUGUGAUUCACUGCCUCCUAUCUUUCCUGGGAGAAUCAGCUGAGGAGCUCACUGAAGACCACCAGGAUAUCAGCAGAGACAUUAUUAAGGAUACCUUCUCCAGUCAUGUCAUGAAAAUCAUCGUACUGAGCAGAUCUGUGGAAGAAGAUUCCAGUAUGUCUGAUGUCAUCAUUGUAAUUGAGGGAACUGAGGUGCUGCUGGGAUGUAAGAAUCUCACAAAUGCAUGUCUGUCACUCACAGGCUGCAUUAACUCCCUAAACUUAAGCUAUCCCCCCAAAAAAAAUUUCUCCAAAGGUUAACUGUGCAUAGAAAGCUUCUAAUGUAAUCUGCUAGUUGGGCACUACUUGCACUUAUUGUACUGUUUUUGUUGUUGUUGUUGUUUGUUGUGUUUUUUUGCAAGAAAGGUUAUUCACAAAACAACUUCAACUACAGUACUAUUUAACAUAGCCAUUCUUAUACAUUUUAAGUAAUGCAAUUCUGCUGGAGACCAUAAAGUUUUAUUAUUUUAUUUGAUGUCUUUGUUCCCUUAAUUUAAUGUAAUUGAAAUUAAAAUAAGCUAAUGAAAGGCAGCUACUAGUUUGAGUAUUUGCACUUUUGUUUUUGAUAUCUGCAACUGGGAUUGUUGUAAUGUUAAUAUGUUUAAAUGUUUAUGCAUUUUAAUGAACUGUAUUUCAUGUUCCCAUCUUUAAGGAAUCUUAUAGAAAUAAAAGUAUUCAAGUAAAA